rnacentral:rRNA from 1 species
AUGCGUAGGGGGCGAGCGUUGUCCGGAAUGAUUGGGCGUAAAGGGCGCGUAGGCGGCCCGGUAAGUCUGGAGUGAAAGUCCUGUUUUUAAGAUGGGAAUUGCUUUGGAUACUGUCGGGCUUGAGUGCAGGAGAGGUAAGUGGAAUUCCCAGUGUAGCGGUGAAAUGCGUAGAGAUUGGGAGGAACACCAGUGGCGAAGGCGACUUACUGGACUGUAACUGACGCUGAGGCGCGAAAGUGUGGGGAGCAAACAGGAUUAGAUACCCUGGUAGUCCACACUGUAAACGAUGAAUGCUAGGUGUAGGGGGUAUCGACCCCUUCUGUGCCGCAGUCAACACAAUAAGCAUUCCGCCUGGGGAGUACGGCCGCAAGGUUGAAACUCAAAGGAAUUGGCGGGG